AACGAACGCUGGCGGCAUGCCUAACACAUGCAAGUCGAACGAGACCUUCGGGUCCAGUGGCGCACGGGUGCGUAACGCGUGGGAACCUGCCUUUAGGUUCGGAAUAACUCAGAGAAAUUUGAGCUAAUACCGGAUGAUGUCUUCGGACCAAAGAUUUAUCGCCUUUAGAUGGGCCCGCGUUGGAUUAGCUAGUUGGUGGGGUAAAGGCCUACCAAGGCGACGAUCCAUAGCUGGUCUGAGAGGAUGAUCAGCCACACUGGGACUGAGACACGGCCCAGACUCCUACGGGAGGCAGCAGUGGGGAAUAUUGGACAAUGGGCGAAAGCCUGAUCCAGCAAUGCCGCGUGAGUGAUGAAGGCCUUAGGGUUGUAAAGCUCUUUUACCCGAGAUGAUAAUGACAGUAUCGGGAGAAUAAGCUCCGGCUAACUCCGUG
rnacentral:rRNA from 1 species